GGGCUUCAGAAUUAGGCCCGUUGCAGAACAAAAGACGAUCAACCAAGACUUUUGAAUCAUUUGUGAUAUCAGUCAGGGAAAUUAUCAGUUUUAGGCACCCUAGCAGAAAAUGAAGCAGAUCGUCUUUGGAAAAAAUAUAAAGAAAGUCGUGCAAGUAUAUAUAUUGGCCAACCUUUUCAGGAAAUAGCAAGAAAGACAUGUGGGGAGGCAAGUUCUGGGAGUGCACAUUUGGCAAGAAAACACAAAAAACAGUGGAAGUAACUUACAGUGGCAAUUAUGAAUAUGAUUCCAGUUCAAAAAGUAUGAAGCUUUGGGAAAAUGUACUGCCAUUGUAUCGAAGCAUAGCCUGUUAAAGGACUGGGCAAUCAAGUUGGCAUAGGUAGAAUUUAGGCCUAUACCUUUUUUAUAAGAACCAACACAUUGAAUUCAGGCUGGCUGUUCUUAAUUUGUCAAAACUUUUAGGCUGCAUUGUUUCUAAUUUUUUCUUUAUUGUUAGGUUUUAAGCAGUGAAAUCACUAGCUAUUGUCCCCAAGGGAAGUGUUCAGGCCCCAUUUGCCAUCAACAUGAAGUGAAAACAAGUCAAUUCUUUCAGCCAUAAAUUUGAUAAGAUAAUCACUAGAUUUUCCGAUGGAUUUUGACAGGCAAUGCAAAAAAAAGCAUAUGCAAACAAACUUUUUUAAAAACUUUUAUUCUGUUUUUAAUUUAAUUCUGGGGCUCAUGUUCUUAUGAACAUGUUCUUUUAAAAAAAGUGUAAUUGGCAAAUAACCUUUUCGCCUAAUCCGUAUGCAUACCGACAUAGAUUUUAAAUUAAAUUGUAUCAAAGAAAAUUGUCUUUGUCCUAGACGAUGUCUAUAAAAGUGCUGUCAUAUAGUGGUGUGUUAUGCCAUCUGGGGAGAUUGUUUAUUGUGUUUCUUGCUCUCUCAUGUAUGGAGGAAAAAGCAGACAUGAUAACUUACGACACUGUUCCCUAAGAUAGAAAAUGUGUAUCCCCUUUUGAAGUAUUAAGCAGAUUUGAAACAGAUUCUUUGAUGUUUUUGUGUUCUAAAGCCUAGCACGUUUUUUAGUUGUAGAAAUGGUUUCGAAAUGCGUUAAAGCUCUUAUUGUAAAUUCAGCUCUCAGUUUUCAGAAUAGGUUUAAUUUUUUUAAUCAAAAAAGCGUGUGAUGGAUGAUCAGUUUUACCAGCAUGUGCGUUGAGUUUCUGCUUUAUAUAAUUUUUCUAUGCAUCUGAAGUCUUAUGUUUUUGGUGAAUAAAACAUAUUUAUAUCAACUUGUUUCCUCUUCUUCUUUUGGAUUGAUGGCGCGUUACUUUCAAACAUAUAAAGCCACAUAUAAAACCGUUUAUGAGAUCGUAUCAAUGCAUGUUGUAAUAAAAUCGCUAAAGCUGAUAAAACUCAGUUAUCAGUCUCUGUAAUUUCGAAUUAGGCUGUCGGUUUGGAGAAAAAAGACGAUUCAAAAUAAGACCCUGGAAUAAGCCUAGUCAUAUACCCUAAGCUUUAAAAAUAGUAUUGGUUUUAUCUUCAGUUUACUACCAGGUGACACCCAUAGAUUGUCAAACUUCAUUCACAUCGCCAAAAUCACUGUGAGUUCGUCAAUGACGCUUUGAAGUCGCUUCAAGCUAGGCCUCUGAUUCUCUGAAUUGUAAACGCAUUCUUGUGAAAAUCUACCCACAAACUGUGAGACAUUGGAAAUGGCAUCAUCAGCUACCCUGUUGUGCCACAUCAUAGUGUAUCCCAUACAGAAUAGAUCACUGCUUGUUGAAAGUUGAGUUUCCCCAGAUUUUACUUCAUUUGGCAAGCAGCACAAAUCUCCAAACCCGUUAAGCAUUCACACGCCAUCUACUUUGUACCCAUCAUUCCCAUAGCUUGCAUUGCUGAAGCUCCAAAGUGAUAUGUGGUGGAUGCAUAAAGUACAUCCAAGCACCUGACGUGUCCUGUAACAAACCUUCUAACAAAUCUAAGUAUGAUAAAUGUUGGCAUCUGAAGGGAUGAAUCAGGAGACUGAGUUUGAAAAUUUGAAACCUCCACUGCAAAGAGAAGUCGUGAGAUGGAUCUUGGAAACUGGGAACAACUUUCUCCAGAAGUUAUUGAAAGGUUUUUUCUUUGCAUGUGGCAUUUCCAUUGCUACUGGUGGUAGUCAGGAUGACGCGAUUACAUGCUUCAAGCCUGAUACGCCUUGUUGUGCUGGGCAAGAAAUGUUGAAAGCCUUGCUAUCAUUACUUGAAGGCAAAAAGGCCAAGCCGUUUAUUGACGUUGUUUCUGAUUAAACUGACCUACAAGAAGCAUGUCCAGGCUUCCUGAUCCUGGAAGAAGACGUUGCAGAGGAUGAAGAAAUUGAUAUCAUAGACUAACUUUUACACUUACAUGAUCUUUUAUAUUACGAAGAGAAAGAAAUUUCAAAAAUGAUCUUUUGAUGUGACAUGUUUCAGGAAAUUUUAUACCCCCUAUCUGAUGGUAAUACAGCCUCUGUUAUACGCAACAUCCACAGAUUUUGUUGAUUUAUUCUAGCCAUUCUUUUAAGAUCAUUUAGAAAUUUUAACAAUAAAAUGGAAUGUUGUUGUGUUGGAAAGGCUUUUAGUGAAGAAUUCACUAAGAUGUCUUGCACUUCCAGAAUUCCAAUGAUUAAUUUUAAGGAUCUUCUCGAAUCAAUCUUACUUGUUCCAGAUCUGUCACCAGUGACAAGAUUGAAAAUUUGUGUCUGCACUACAAGAAGUAUUUCUUAGACAAAUUUGAGAGGUACCAGAGAUCAUGCUGCAAUCCGUUUGCAUGCAAAUAGAAGAGGUUAGUUGUAUUUUAUAGUAUAAAGCCUGCUGUGUUCAACCAGAACCAGUUGUCUUGUUCACAUUCCAUUCUGAUUACUGCAAAUGCAUUCAGCAACCAUUUUCAUUUAAAAAAGGUGUUUAAUUUUUUUUGCAGGCUCGUUAACAACAAUAACACUGCAUCUAUCUAGAAGAGCAAAAGAUGCAAACAUCCUUGUCACCCUAGGAAAAAAACUUUUUCCUUCCUGUAGACAUAAAAUUUUAUGUUGACAUGGUGCCUAUCUAAGAGGCUGGAGAAUCAUCUGAAGAUAAAGAUAUAUUUUAAAUUGAGCACUGUGUUUCAACUGAAGAGAGCAAAUUGAAGUUAUCUGAUUUGGAAUAUCACCAGUUGAAGCUCAUUCACAGCCAGAGCAAGAGCAAAACAGGAAAACGGUAAUCUGCCUUUUUAUUAAUGACGGAAAAGGUUGCUAGAGACUUGGAUGUCCCAAUAGAAACCGUUCAGACAAAAAGUACCUUUACCUUUGGCCAGAAAAUUGAGGAAAAAGCUAUUUGUUUUUACAAAAUGGAUCUUCUUGUAGAAAAAGUAAACGCCUUAAGCACAAUGAGCUCCAAAAUGCAGAUUCUUACCCUUGGAACACAGAACUGGAAAAUUCAAGGGACAGCACAGUUAUUUAAUGUAUCCGAACCUCCUGUUAGGAGUGCUCAUAAACUAGCAAAUCAAAAGGAAUUUUGGCUGUGCCUGACUAAAUAGGCCCCUGGCAUCCUAAAUCAACAAAAGCACUUCUUGAGAGUUUUUAUCAUGAUGAGGAAUUUACAAGGGAAAUGCCUGGUAAGAAAGACUAUGUUAGCAUUGCAAGGAAUACUCAUAGACAGAAAAGGCUGGUACUGUGCAAUUUACAAGAGCUAUUCAAAAUCAAACACCGAGAGGCUAAGAUUGGCUUUUAAAAUUGCAGUCCUUUUUAGCUGUAAUGUGGCAAACAAAAGCCUAUAAACCAGAUUCAGAACAAGCUUUAUCAGGAUGAAUUUGCAAAAAUUCGAAAGAAACUUGCAUCUAUUGUCAAAACAAUCAUUCUCCAUGGCAGACGCAACUUUGCAUUGCGAGGACAUCAAGAUGACUACAACACCUCAGAUUGUGGGAAUUUCAAGCAAUGCUAAACUUUUGAAUUGACAGUGGCCACACUUUUCUCAAGGAACGUUUUAAAAAAUCCCAAAGAAUGUAACUCAUCGUUCAAAGACAGUUCAAAUUGAGAGUAUCUUGUGUUGUUCUGAUGUAAUUAAUGAAUCAAUAGUGAGGGAAAUAUGGGAAGCAAAAUUUUAUUCGAUUCUUGCAGAUGAAGUCAGAGAUUGCUCGAACAAAGAGCAAAUGCUAUUGAUUAUUCGUUUUGUUGACCAAAAAUGAGAAAUACAGGAGCGUUUUAUCAAAUUUAUACAUUGUGACACAGGACUCUCAGGGGAGGCAUUAAUGGAAAAGGUGGUUCAUUGUAUUACUCAGGAGCUAAAAUUGGAGAUGAAAAAUUGCAGGAGACAACAUUACGACGGAGCAGGAAAUAUGGCUGGAAAAUUCUCAGGGCUUUCUUCUAGGAUUCUUUCACACAAUCCUUCAGCAUUGUAUACGUAUUGCUCAUCUCACAGGUUUAAUCUUUGUGUUGCUGCCAGCUGCAAAAUUCAAAAUGUUAGAAAAAUGAUGGACAGGGUAUCCAAGAUUUUCAAUUUUAUUUACAAUUCUCCCAAGCGACAUCAACCUUUUGAAAGAAUGGUUACAAAGUAUAUUCCUGGUUGCAAACACACAAAACUUUUAGACCUAUGCAGAACAAGGUGGAUCCUCUAAAUUGAUGUUUUAGAGAGGUUCAUGGAAAUGUACACUGCUAUUACUGAGGAAAUGUUUGAGAUCAGAGAUAACCUGGAUGGGAAUUGGGAUGAUAGUGCUGCAAAUGCUUUUGCAUUAUCAUCUCUUUUAACCAAUUUUGAUUUUAUACCUACCUUGGUUGUUGUCAGAAUGUGCUUAGGGUUCAUUAGAUCUGCUACAAUCCAACUACAAGGUGGAAAUAUUGAAAUUAUCAGAGGGCUACAGGAAAUAUCUACGAUGAAUACUCUUCUGCAGAAUGUUAGAAUCUCUAUUGAUGAAUAUCACAAUGCUUAGUUUCAAGAAGCUGUUGACAUUUCUAACAAGGUAAGAACUACUAUUAGUUUUCCAAGGCGAUGUGAAAGGCAAGUAUACAGAGGUAAUAUUCCAGCUGAUGAUGUUUCAACUUAUCACAAGCGGAAUCUUUCUGUACCUUUUUGGAUCACCUUUUGCAGAAACUCUCAACAAGGUUUUCAGAAACAAACUGCAAUGCAUACAAAGCUCUAUGAAUUGUCACUUCAGUCAUGAUGACAGAAUAUCCAGAAGAAAAUGUUUUUUAGAAAACAACCAUUCAAAAAGAAUUUUCUCCUGUGCAAAACAUUUGAAUGCAAACAGCAAACUACCAGACUUCAAGAAGGGAACCAGGCAAGUACUACUAAAGGACGGGCAGAUGUCAAAGUACAAUGACUAAAUAAGAGCUGGAAAAUAGAUAUUGUGGCUUUUUGUGAGCAGUAUGAAAAAGACAUGCCAAGCAUUUAUAACAUUUUCCAUGAGUUGGACAACUGGGAGUCCUUUUGGUUAAACUUCUCAAAAGACAUAUUCCCUCGUGGCUUAUCAGAUACCUUAAAAUUGAUGAAUCCUAUCAACUUUCCAAAAACCACUGCAGUGCUGGGAAUAUUGGCUACUCUUCCCAUCACCAGUUGCAGUUAUGAUAGGUCAGCAUCAGCUAUUCGUCUUCUCAAAUCUUAUCUUCUCAGCACAAUGUCCCAAGAAAGACUUAAUGGUGUUUCAUCUCUCUUUACAAACAUAGAUGUCCCUGUUCAUAGAGUGGUAGAUCUGUUCAGCAAGAAAUCUCGUAAAAUAACAUUGGCAAAUAUAUAUUAGAUUUUGAUCAACAGCUAGAAGAGAAUGAGGAGGUUUUGCAAUCAGAAAUUUACUAAACUGUUCAAAAUGAAAUUCAUUUACAAAGCUGUUCAAAACAAUAUUAAAUCAAAAUUUCAAGUUCUCCACCUAGACAUUCUAUUAUCUCUUCGGCAAUAGAUAUUGGUUGUGUACUGUUAUUUCAGUUUCCAAACCAGAGCUACUUUCUUGCAUACUUUUAAAAUCAGGAAAAUAUAUCUUGGAUGCUUAGAAAGCAAUGGAAAGCCAGCAUCUUGUUCCUACAAUCUGUUUUUUGUUUAGUAUCAAGCCAGAGACAGUAUCCUGUUCUUGCAGAGUAUAUUGUAAGAACAUGUGCAGCUCUUUGCAAUGUUCAGGGCCCUCUUAUUAAACAGUAAGAUGUCUAGUUGUAUUUGGUAUAUGUUGGCAUAUUUAGUAUAACACCGAAAUAUUCAUCUAAUUUAUAACAGUUUCUUUAAUCAUUCAAAAACAUUGUAAAGUCCUAGUCCACCCUAAAAUAAAAGUUUUGUUCAAAACUAGACUCAACAAUCACCUCAAAUAGAGAAAGUAUCCACUAGAAAUUUCCAAUGAAUUUUCACAUUUAGAAGCCUUAUCAUAGAGCUGUUUUGCAUCAUCCAUAAAUAAUGAAAACAUAAUUGUGAAAGAUGUCAGAUCCCCUUCCCCCCAUGGCCCUAUAGUAGGGUUUUAUUACAGAUAUUUUAUUUAGUGGUACUUUUCAUACAUUUGUCAUUAAUUUUAAUUUAUAUAUAAUACUUAAAAAUGCAUGACUUUGUGUUCUUAUAUAAAACAUUGCUUACAUUAAGACAGUUGUUUAUGAUGCCCCUUUAACAGGCUGAAGGCAAUAACAACACUCCAUGUUGAAGACAAUGAGUAAAUUUCUAGAUUUAGUGAUAAGUUAUGCAAUAACUAUCUGAAAUAUAGCAAAAUUUCAUUAAGUAAUACAAAACCUAAUAGCUUUGUACUCUAUCUGAAAACAAGUAAACAAAAUAAUGAUGUUCGUACAAGUCAAUAAAAAUGUUUUUGAGCUAAGUCCAUAGUGUAUUAUCGAGUCUGACUUUCUCAGUGAAAGAUCCAUGUACAGUCCAAAUAUAAAAGAAACACUGACUUUAUUUCUAGACAAGAAAUUCCACAACAGCUACAAUAAAUCAUUCUGUCUGGACUGGCUCUAAUAUAUGGGAUAUUUUAAAUAGAUCUUUUUCUUAAUUUUAAAUUGUAAUUUAUUUGAUGGCAAAAUUAUACAUACAUACAUACAUACAUAUGUUUCUUGGAAAAAGGUUGAUGGCUGGAGAGUGUGCAGCCAUUUCAUAAGUGGAAAACCAGCUUCAUUGUUUGAUGAAAAUAAUCCCACCUGGGUUCCUACGAGGAACUGGGGUUAGGAGAGGUUCGGGGCCACAUCUGAGACUGACUUGGUACACGAUUGUGCAAAGAGGCGCUAGGGGAAAAUGCAAAGGAACUACACAACACUUUAUGUGAACUAGACAACGUGCUUCAGGCAGAUGAAAUUUCUUCCAUAGAGGGGUGUGAGAAAAUUGAUCCUUGUUCUGCUAGUGAUGAUGUAAUAAAUGAAAAUGAAAGUUUGGGAGCUUCAAAAUCAUCACAAGAAAGUGACUUACAAAGAAGAAGACUGUCAGCCAAGACUUUUUCAGAUGAAAGCGAUUUAGAGGAUCAAACUAAAGUUACUUUUUAUACAGGUCUGCCUUCUCAGGACAUCAUGUUGCCAAUUUUCAAUUUGAUUGCCCCUGGAAUAUCACAACGACAGAAUUCUGUAUUGUCCAAAUUUGACAAAUUUGUUAUAACCCUUUCUCGUCUAAGACUCAACCUGCCGAUAAGGGACUUGGCAUACUGCUAUAAUGUGUCAACUUAUGUUUUAUUGAAAGCCUUCACAGAAAUCAUUGACCUUCUAUAUGUUAAUCUGAAGGGAACCAUUCUAUGGCCUUUACAGGAUAAUCUUAUGAAGUCUAUGCCAAUGGUGUUUAGAGACAACUUUGGUUUAAAAGUUGUUUCAAUCAUUGACUGUUUUGAAGUUUUUAUAGAGCGCCCAUCAAACUUAUAUGCAAGGGCUCAAACAUGGUAAAAUUAUAAACAUAAAAAUACUGUUAAGUAUUUAAUCAGAAUCACUCCACAAGGUUCUAUCUCAUUCAUAUCAGAUGGAUGGGGAGGAAGAGCAAGCGAUAAAUAUAAAACAUGUAACAAUUAACUCAAAUUUUUUGAACAAUUUAUUGCCAGAAGAUGUUGUUUUAGCAGGUAGAGGAUUUGACAUUUUAUGCAUCAAAGGUACAAAAUUGCAUAUACCUGCAUUUACAAGGGGGAAAAACAGUUGAGUGGUGAAGAAGUGCAAGAGUCAAGAAAUAUAGCAAAUGUUCGUAUUCAUGUUGAAAGGGUAAUUGGAUUGCUACGACAAAAAUACACCAUGCUACAAUGUACAAUACCAAUUAAUCUUUUGAUCAACAAGACUGGCCAGGAGAACUCUGUCUUGGACAAAAUAGUGACUGUAGCUUGUGCACUAACUAAUUUAUGCCAAUCGGAUGUACCAUUUGAUUAAAGAAUGUUAACUAUUGUUUUAGCAAAAAUAUUUGUUUAUUUUGAGUUGAUUAUUUCAACACAUGGUUAGGGGGAGGGGCAAUCUUUUGAAAUGGCCACUAAAAGACUGUAAUUGUCAUAGAUAGGAAAACUUAGACCAACUUUAAUGAACAUAUUUUGCAUAGGCAAAAUUCAUCUAAAAAGUGAACAUAAUUUGUGAUUAUCUAAACAAAACAAAAUAACUCCCUCCAGGCAUUUAAACCAAUGGAAGCAUUUGAAGCAAAGUCUUCUUCCACAAUACCCAAUGGGGCAGAUUUUAGGAUCAUUGAUACAAAGCGAAUGUGGAAACCUCCACGCAUUUCUGGUUUACAAUUUACAAUGGACAAACUAUGAUAUAAAGUGGCUUUUGCAGAGAAAAACUUUAGAAAGUCUCCUUCAAUAAACUGUAAAUAGCAUAUAAAUAUAGUGAAUAAAAAUAUAUAAUUGUUUCAGAGUUGUUUUAUUGUUUAUUAAAGUUUUUCAAGUUUCUAUGUAUAGACAUCCACAUAACAAUUUGUUAGUAUUUGUGUUUUUCAGCACAGUGGUUCACUUUCACUUUCGCUCUGCAAUAGAUCUUCAAACAACAAUGUUCCAGAAUUGGGAUCAUAAAGCUCAGUAAAAGGAGAUGGGAAUUGCUUUUCAACCGUUCCAGGAAUAUAUCCAUCAGCAAAGAGUGGAUGAACAUACAAACAUGCAGGCUUUGCUUCGGAGAUUUCUUCCAGAAACUUCAAAAAAUUUCCAUUAUUUGCUUUAUAACUAGCGUUCAACUGACUUCUUGGGGCUUGAUCUGGACCAGAUGGUUCAUUAAAAUUUUCAAUCUUUCUUUCAAGUCUUUUUUCAUACUGUUUCAAGAUGUGAAAUUGAUUUUUUUGAUAGGGGCAUACUCAACUUGAGACUUAGCUGACCAUAACUUCCAGUGAGCAGCUUCUCCUGUCACGGUUUGCUUUUCACACAUUCGAACAGCAGCUUUCACAUAAAACAUUGUAGAGGAAACGUGAGAACAUGUUUCUCCAAGCCCAGCCAAACAUGUACAAUGGGCAGAAACAACAGCCCCAUCCUCUGUAGAAAUAAACCAGGGCUGUACUGGUGCUUUGCUUAAUCGUUGGCUGUGGUUCACUUUCGCUUGUACAACAUAGUAUGAAAUAGGCUUAGUGUCAACACAAUCAAACACCUCAACUUUACGGCCCCAACCAGAAAGGAAACGAUCGUAUGAGCCUAGACUUCUGUAGUUUUUGAAAUCUUGCAUUGAGUAGCAUGGGUUCCGGCCAAGGAUGAGGUAGUUCACCAGAUCGAUGUAUAUAAGCGGGUGAAAGCCGGCGGGUGAAUAUCGAAUAAGGAUCUUGCCCUCCAAUAACUACUGUUUUUUUCAGCAUAAUGUUUCUUAGCUUCUAGGCUCAUUGUUUCGACGAAUUUUGCCAUCUCAGCGUAAAAGAACUCCUUGAGUUUAGAUAUUAUACUUGUUGUUCACUUGAUCAAUAUAAAAUUGUUUUGACUACCAGUAGUUGCGGAGGUCUACCAACAUGGCCGCCACUACGACCGCAAUGCAUGGUUAUCCAAAUCGCAAAAAGGUCUAUUCAUAGACACAUACUUUUCCUUACAAAAUAAUUCCACAUGACAAAACAUCACUAGUUGCAAAAUCCUUGUCAGCAACGACAGAGUCUCCAUCUUGCAAGGGCAAGUCAAGAAAACCACUUUCUAUGACAAUUUUUUAUCAGAUAUGCUUCCCCUGGACAGUUCACUAAUAAAAGUAAUCUGUCGUUCAAGUGAAAUUCCAACCAACUCUUUUAAAGUUGUGAUUUUUGUAGUUGCUGAAUAACUCACUGUGGAGAUGAAGACUACAGGGUAUCUGACAUCGUAUCUCUGUACAGUCAGUUAUCACCCUUGUUGAGCUGUACUUGGCUAUAAAGUCCUCCAGCAUGUGAUCUAAUAUUGAUUGUUUUGACGGUCAAAUGGGUAUAUAUUUCCAAAGUUGGUCCAUGUUAUCAAAUUCUACUAAUUGUAGAAGUUGAUAUAUGGAACAAGUGUACAAGAUCUUCCUCGUGGAAUUCUUGGCGCAACUUGCAUAUAACCACAAAAUAUUCAACUUCUUUUUCUACUAUAGCUUUGAGGCUCAGAACUGUCAUUAUAGUAAAAUGAAAUGUCUGUGUUGGAAGCUUUCCAUUAUUCUAUGUUUUCUGCCAAGAUUUAAGUAUCGGAAUAUGGACAUAAAAGUAUCCAAGUUUUCAAAACGUCUGUAAAAUUGACCACUGUUAGGUUUGCUCUUGAUUGUUUCGAAAGAAAAUAGUUUAUUUUGAAGCAGCUUAGUCUCCUUCUCUAAUUUGGCAAUAAUUUUAAAUUCUUUUUCAAAGAGAUAACACUGCUAUUAUUUUCGAAUAUUACAUUGUCUUCUCACUGUUUUUGCUUAGGUGCUUUUAUGAAGAGACCUUCAUGGCCUUGCUCUCAUGCACAUUCAUUACCAGUCUUCUUGUGGCAUACAGAGGAAUCCGUGACUAAUGCAAGUAGUUCAUUGUACUGAAUAUAAAACAACACAAAACCGGAAAUAACUCUCAUUGUCUGAACAUUGUAUUUGAUGUAAUUUGUAUAUAAUUGUGUGAUCUUCUAAUAAUAUCUAACCAUUUUGUUAUUUUGAGGGGCUUUGGAUUAUGCCAAAUGUAUAUUAGAAAGUAUGUUGCAUGUUUUAUGAGAUAUUAUAAGGUGUUGUUAGUACUGAUAUUCAAUUUUUCAUGACAGUUCUGUUUGGAGUGCCCUUUCAUUGGUUCCCCACAUUUUUCGCGCAUCUUGGUGCUACUCUGUUGCCUUUGUACUACUUUGGCAAUGAAUGAUGAUGCUUGUAACUCACCUUGUUCUUGUGCUACAUGAGAGAAAAGUGAGAUUCUAC